UACGUAGGGGGCAAGCGUUGUUCGGAUUUACUGGGCGUAAAGGGCGCGUAGGCGGCGUGACAAGUCACUUGUGAAAUCUCCGGGCUUAACUCGGAACGGUCAAGUGAUACUGUUGUGCUAGAGUGCAGAAAGGGCAACUGGAAUUCUUGGUGUAGCGGUGAAAUGCGUAGAUAUCAAGAGGAACACCUGAGGCGAAGGCGAGUUGCUAGGCUGACACUGACGCUGAGGCGCGAAAGCUAGGGGAGCGAACGGG
rnacentral:rRNA from 1 species